GGUUAAGCGACUAAGCGUACACGGUGGAUGCCCUGGCAGUCAGAGGCGAUGAAGGACGUGCUAAUCUGCGAUAAGCGUCGGUAAGGUGAUAUGAACCGUUAUAACCGGCGAUUUCCGAAUGGGGAAACCCAGUGUGUUUCGACACACUAUCAUUAACUGAAUCCAUAGGUUAAUGAGGCGAACCGGGGGAACUGAAACAUCUAAGUACCCCGAGGAAAAGAAAUCAACCGAGAUUCCCCCAGUAGCGGCGAGCGAACGGGGAGCAGCCCAGAGCCUGAAUCAGUGUGUGUGUUAGUGGAAGCGUCUGGAAAGGCGCGCGAUACAGGGUGACAGCCCCGUACACAAAAAUGCACAUGCUGUGAGCUCGAUGAGUAGGGCGGGACACGUGGUAUCCUGUCUGAAUAUGGGGGGACCAUCCUCCAAGGCUAAAUACUCCUGACUGACCGAUAGUGAACCAGUACCGUGAGGGAAAGGCGAAAAGAACCCCGGCGAGGGGAGUGAAAAAGAACCUGAAACCGUGUACGUACAAGCAGUGGGAGCACGCUUAGGCGUGUGACUGCGUACCUUUUGUAUAAUGGGUCAGCGACUUAUAUUCUGUAGCAAGGUUAACCGAAUAGGGGAGCCGAAGGGAAACCGAGUCUUAACUGGGCGUUAAGUUGCAGGGUAUAGACCCGAAACCCGGUGAUCUAGCCAUGGGCAGGUUGAAGGUUGGGUAACACUAACUGGAGGACCGAACCGACUAAUGUUGAAAAAUUAGCGGAUGACUUGUGGCUGGGGGUGAAAGGCCAAUCAAACCGGGAGAUAGCUGGUUCUCCCCGAAAGCUAUUUAGGUAGCGCCUCGUGAAUUCAUCUCCGGGGGUAGAGCACUGUUUCGGCAAGGGGGUCAUCCCGACUUACCAACCCGAUGCAAACUGCGAAUACCGGAGAAUGUUAUCACGGGAGACACACGGCGGGUGCUAACGUCCGUCGUGAAGAGGGAAACAACCCAGACCGCCAGCUAAGGUCCCAAAGUCAUGGUUAAGUGGGAAACGAUGUGGGAAGGCCCAGACAGCCAGGAUGUUGGCUUAGAAGCAGCCAUCAUUUAAAGAAAGCGUAAUAGCUCACUGGUCGAGUCGGCCUGCGCGGAAGAUGUAACGGGGCUAAACCAUGCACCGAAGCUGCGGCAGCGACGCUUAUGCGUUGUUGGGUAGGGGAGCGUUCUGUAAGCCUGUGAAGGUGUGCUGUGAGGCAUGCUGGAGGUAUCAGAAGUGCGAAUGCUGACAUAAGUAACGAUAAAGCGGGUGAAAAGCCCGCUCGCCGGAAGACCAAGGGUUCCUGUCCAACGUUAAUCGGGGCAGGGUGAGUCGACCCCUAAGGCGAGGCCGAAAGGCGUAGUCGAUGGGAAACAGGUUAAUAUUCCUGUACUUGGUGUUACUGCGAAGGGGGGACGGAGAAGGCUAUGUUGACCGGGCGACGGUUGUCCCGGUUUAAGCGUGUAGGCUGGUUUUCCAGGCAAAUCCGGAAAAUCAAGGCUGAGGCGUGAUGACGAGGCACUACGGUGCUGAAGCAACAAAUGCCCUGCUUCCAGGAAAAGCCUCUAAGCAUCAGGUAACAUCAAAUCGUACCCCAAACCGACACAGGUGGUCAGGUAGAGAAUACCAAGGCGCUUGAGAGAACUCGGGUGAAGGAACUAGGCAAAAUGGUGCCGUAACUUCGGGAGAAGGCACGCUGAUAUGUAGGUGAAGCGACUUGCUCGUGGAGCUGAAAUCAGUCGAAGAUACCAGCUGGCUGCAACUGUUUAUUAAAAACACAGCACUGUGCAAACACGAAAGUGGACGUAUACGGUGUGACGCCUGCCCGGUGCCGGAAGGUUAAUUGAUGGGGUCAGCGCAAGCGAAGCUCUUGAUCGAAGCCCCGGUAAACGGCGGCCGUAACUAUAACGGUCCUAAGGUAGCGAAAUUCCUUGUCGGGUAAGUUCCGACCUGCACGAAUGGCGUAAUGAUGGCCAGGCUGUCUCCACCCGAGACUCAGUGAAAUUGAACUCGCUGUGAAGAUGCAGUGUACCCGCGGCAAGACGGAAAGACCCCGUGAACCUUUACUAUAGCUUGACACUGAACAUUGAGCCUUGAUGUGUAGGAUAGGUGGGAGGCUUAGAAGUGUGGACGCCAGUCUGCAUGGAGCCGACCUUGAAAUACCACCCUUUAAUGUUUGAUGUUCUAACGUUGACCCGUAAUCCGGGUUGCGGACAGUGUCUGGUGGGUAGUUUGACUGGGGCGGUCUCCUCCUAAAGAGUAACGGAGGAGCACGAAGGUUGGCUAAUCCUGGUCGGACAUCAGGAGGUUAGUGCAAUGGCAUAAGCCAGCUUGACUGCGAGCGUGACGGCGCGAGCAGGUGCGAAAGCAGGUCAUAGUGAUCCGGUGGUUCUGAAUGGAAGGGCCAUCGCUCAACGGAUAAAAGGUACUCCGGGGAUAACAGGCUGAUACCGCCCAAGAGUUCAUAUCGACGGCGGUGUUUGGCACCUCGAUGUCGGCUCAUCACAUCCUGGGGCUGAAGUAGGUCCCAAGGGUAUGGCUGUUCGCCAUUUAAAGUGGUACGCGAGCUGGGUUUAGAACGUCGUGAGACAGUUCGGUCCCUAUCUGCCGUGGGCGCUGGAGAACUGAGGGGGGCUGCUCCUAGUACGAGAGGACCGGAGUGGACGCAUCACUGGUGUUCGGGUUGUCAUGCCAAUGGCACUGCCCGGUAGCUAAAUGCGGAAGAGAUAAGUGCUGAAAGCAUCUAAGCACGAAACUUGCCCCGAGAUGAGUUCUCCCUGACUCCUUGAGAGUCCUGAAGGAACGUUGAAGACGACGACGUUGAUAGGCCGGGUGUGUAAGCGCAGCGAUGCGUUGAGCUAACCGGUACUAAUGAACCGUGAGGCUUAACCUUAC
rnacentral:rRNA from 1 species